CUGACAACUCCACAGAUGAAGCAGAAUCAUUUUACCUUGCGCAGUCUUAAAAUGGUUCAUUGGUUCAAUGGCUCACUGCUUUUUUAAGUUUUUAUUUAUUAUUUUUUUAUUUAUUUAGUGGAUCAUUGCUGCUCUGUAAUUGGCCAUAAUGCGACAUUCGUCUUUUCCGAGAUCCUUUACUCUUCCCUGUGGAACCCGGAAGCUGGACCUCUGACUUACCUUCAGUACGAUCUGAAUUUCUGUGUUUUGAAUUUUAUAGAAUAUUGAAUUUGGUUGUUUCGAAUUUGUUCUUCAUUGUGGGGAAGUGGGUUUUGACGGCCCACUCCCUGGACAUGUUAUGGUCCAAGAUGGAAAAAUAAAAAUGAUGGCCCAACUCGCAAAGCACUAUGGUGCAAAAAAUGGUGUUUUAUUUAGGGUUAUUUAUGGUGUUUUAUUUAGGGUUGUUCUGAUUCCGAUACUAGUAUUGGAAAUACCACCGAUACCACAAAAAAUGCUGGCAUCAGUAUCGGCGAGUAAUUAAACUCAUGUACCGAUCCGAUACCAUUUUCUUAAACAAUACAUAGUUGUGCCCGCUAUCUUUGCUUAACGCAGCAAAUCAGAAAUCAAUUCUUCUUUGCGGCUCAGAAUGCAAACAUAGGAAGCUGUGCUGUGUUGCCACAAGCAACCACUGUUUAGAGCAGCGAAGAAGAAAUGAAAAUGUGCUAGCAGUAUGUCCACUGUUUGGCAGUAUUUCAGACUGGACCAACCAGCCAGUAAAACGGCGACAUGUCUCAUAUGCAAUGCUGCAAUUUCAAGGGGUGGCACAACUAUUGGCAACUUUAACACAACUAACUUAAUAAAGCAUUUGAAGACGCGUCAUCCUGCACAACACGAUGGUUACAUAAAGGCUACCCAGAUAGCAAAAUACAAUCGGGACAGUUCUGGUUAGAUUCUCGCCUGCCCGCUUACCACUCGGCCCGCUUCCAUCUGCAGCGAUCGGGCCGGUUGCCUGGUGUACUCACUGCCCGAUUCCAGCCCGAGUCAAUCGGGCCAGAUGCGGCAGCCGUUACCAUGCCGACGCUGCCGGUAUCGGGCCAUCGCAAAUGCGCACAGCGCGCCAGAAACGGCCCAGCCCCGUUUAUAUAUCUACCAUACUGUUCAUUCAUUUUUCAUUUAAAUUUGAUACCCAGCCAAAACGUUUACUUACAUUUUAAUAUUGAAAAUUAUAAUACAUAAACAACAUUACUUAAAUCUAUACAAACAUCACAUUAUUAUGAAAAGCAAUUAUAUGUACAUUGAAAAGAACUCACUUGAUCUGGUUGGCAUGAAAACAUUUUAUUUACAAAACAAUUACAAAACUAUAUUACAUCAAAUAACAGCAGUUGUUAUACAAGUAUUGUAAAUAUUUACCACAUUUCGAAAAAUUAUACACUUAUACACAGAGUGUAAAAUUGAAUAAGUAUAGACAAACUUAAUGUUUUAAAUACAUUGGUAAAUGGAAAAAGUUUUGCUGUUGUACUUAGCAAAAUAAUGAGCUGAAUAACUUAGCUGAACUCUGCAGGCAGGAAGAUCUCCAGGAACAGGAUCAGGCACCUCUGCAGGACAUUACAUAAAAAAAACUAACUCAAAAGACAAUAAACAACAACAAAACCUAAAACCAUAAAACCAUAAAAUAAACCUCCAGCUGUACAAUUGAAGUUUUUUUUGAAGAUUAGUCUUUUAUUAUAAAACUUUAGAUCACAGCUGCAGUGCUUGAAGGACUUGUGCUUUCAUUUGAUUGACCACAAUGACAGAAUCAGUGAUGUCUGGCUCUCCCAAUGCCUCCUGAAAUAAGCAUAGAGGGUCCAACUGUAAGUUUCACUCUGUAGACUAAAAGUAGACCGUUACAUUCACUGAUACUAGCAAUUCCUGUGCGUCUUAACAUGCUGAGUGAAGAAGCAACUAGUAGCAACAAAAGCUGUGAUUUAAAAAACGUAAGCGUUUAAAAUACGUAUAAAAAUUUAUAAAAUAAUGAAUUGCUACAUUACUUAUAAAUAGAUUUUAUAUUAUACAUAUUAGAGAAUGUUCUGAUCUUUUAUGGCACUUUUAUUGUAUUAGGUUUUACCGCAGAUGUGUUGUUAUUGACAAAUUCGCUACAUUAAACGUGUAACGUUAGUUAAUUCAUAUCAGAUACUACCAGGAAACGAAGUCAAUUUUAAGACUAUUUUAAUUAUUGCUUAUGUAACCAAAUGUGAGUGAACAUAAGCCGAGUCAUUGCCAGAAGUGGCACAGAUCUCUAUAGCCAGAGUUCGGCCAGUUACAGUGAACAGGAAUCGGCCCAGUGAUUUACAGCCGUAACAAAUAUACAUGUCCCAGAGCGAGCUGCGGGCCACAAUCGGCCCGGUUAACACGCGCCGAUGCCGAUUCUGAGCCGCAGGCGCCGCGGGGCAGCCGAGCUCAGGCCGAUUACUACAUGCUAUCUGGGUAGGAUGGAGAAGGAUGAGGUGUGCCAGAAUCAACAAUCUUUGGAAGCUUCAUUCAAACAGAGAGAAAAGUUUUCAAAAGACAGCCAACGAGCGAUAAUGAUAACCGACAAAAUUGUUGAGUUUAUUGUUCUGGAUGACCAGCCCCUGUCAGUCGUCGAAAACGUGGGAUUUCGCCACUUAUUUGAACAUUUGGAGCCCCAGUACAGUUUGCCUGGUCUCAAAUACAUCUCUGAAACAGCGCUCCCUAAGCUAUAUGAGACAGUGCGUGAACACAUUUUAUGUAAACUAAAAGAUGUGCAAACAAUCAGCUUUACUACAGACAUUUGGAACUGCGAUGCGACCCCGCUGUCUUUACUAAGUUUGACAGCACACUGGAUGGACACAGUGACACCGUCAUCUUUUACACUUCAAAGUGCAGUGCUGCAAGCUAACGAGUUUCGUGGGUCACACACCAGCACAUCCAUAGCUGAAUCAACUGAGGGGAUGCUUGUGAAGUGGAAUAUCUCUAAGUCCCGUGUUCAUGUUAUUUUGCGCGAUAACGCAAGCAACAUGAAAAAAGCCAUGGACGAGAUGGGUGUGUCGAGUUUGGGGUGCUUUGCACACUCUCUCCAACUGGUGGUACACGAAGGCCUACUAUCACAGAGAAGUGUGAGUGAUGCGCUGGCGAACUCUAGGAAGAUAGUUGGCCAUUUCAGACACUCGCCAUUGGCCACAACGCGCCUGGAUGAUAUUUAGAGGGAUCUAAAAAUGCCCACCAAAUGUUUGCACCAAGACAUGGUGACAAGGUGGAAUAGUACUUUUUAUAUGGUAGAGAGUUUACUUGAGCAGAAGCGGACGAUUUCAGCAUACAGAGAUGAUCACGACCUGCCAGCCACAUUAACAGCCAACCAGUGGGCUUUGCUGGAAAAAAACUGUCACUGUUUUGGCACCAUUUGAGGAACUGACCAAACAGAUUAGCUCCUCCACCUUGUCUGUAGCAGAAGUCAUCCCCUCAGUUACAGUUCUAAAAUGGCUACUUGCUCGGGAGAGCCAGGAGGACACCGGUAUAAAAACAAUGAAAACUACCCUUCUUGAGGCCAUCAGGAAACGAUUUGCAACCAUCGAGGAAGAGCCCUUGUAUGCAGUUGCAACUCUCUUGGUUCCACGUUUCAAGGACAGAUACUUCUCAAGUGCAGACAACAUCAAGCAUGCAAAGGAUGCUCUGACAGUAGAGAUAGAGAAGAUUGAGAAGUCACUGACAAUGACCACCACAACUGUAGCAGAGAAAAUUGCAGAAAACCCCAAGAAAACUCCAGGAAUGGAAGUGUAGGUGGGCGGCGGCAGCAGCAGCAGCAGCAACAGCAACAGCAACAGCAGAGAGAGUAGCUUGAAGGGCCUGUUUGAGGAAUUCCUGCAGGAGUAUGAUGAGGAACAUGGCGCAGGUACUACAAGCACACAUGUGCAACUUCAGACAUAUGUGAUGGAGCAAACUAUCUCACGCUCAGACAGCCCAUUCCAGUACUGGGCAGUCAAACAAGUUCGAUUUCCCACUCUGGCUGCCACUGCUGCAAAGUUUCUCUGCGCCCUUGGUACCAGUGUGGAUAGUGAGAGACUUUUCAGCACAGCAUCUAACAUUGUGGAUGCAAAGAGAAACAGACUAGGAGGAGAGAGAGCAGAAAUGCUCAUUUUCCUGAAGAAAAACUUGCCAUUGUUAUUGAAAUUGUGAGCAAUACUAAGUUCCCACACCAGUGUGUAACCUAGUUUAAGUUACUUGAAAUAUGUAUUUCAUUCUGGAUUUAAUACUGCUCUUGUUGAAUCUUAACUUGUUCAGUUGAGGUUUAUUUCUAUUAAGUUUCUUACUUCACUACAUUGUGGCUGCACUUAGUGUUUUUGAAAGACUAGUUGAAGGACUGUUGCACAUUUUUUUUGUGCUUUUGUAUUUAAAAACUGAAAUGCCUUUUAUUUAACAAAAUUGUUCUGGACUAAGUUUUAAAGAGAUUAUUUUCUUAUAUAAUUCCUAGAUUUAUUUAUUGCACUGUUUUUAUACAGUUAUAUUGUAAAACUAAAAUACCUUUUUCAGCUUACAGUGUUAGAUUUGUGGCUGCAUUUGAAUUUCUUUUUCACUUAAAAUAAAUAAAUACUAUAACUGACAAAAUGACAAAUGUAUGUCAGAUAAUAAAAAUACUCUAGUUCACUGUAUGUAUUUGUUCUUGUUUUAUUUAGGGAUAAGUCUGAAGCAUACCAUAAAAUAAUUCUAUCAUUUCAUACAGGGCUAGUAGUAUAUACAGCUGUAUAUACAGAUACACACCCAGGUAUCGGAUCAGUACUCGGUAUCGGCCGAUACCCUGAGCUCAGGUAUCGGAAUCGGUAUCGGGAAUGGAAAAGGGGUAUCGGAACAUCUCUA